rnacentral:rRNA from 1 species
CAGCCGCCGCGGGAAUACGAAUGGGGCUAGCGUUGCUCGGAUUUACUGGGCGUAAAGGGCGCGUAGGCGGACGGUUAAGUCGGGGGUGAAAGCCCGGGGCUCAACCUCGGAAUUGCCUUCGAAACUGGCUGUCUUGAGUACGGGAGAGGUGAGUGGAACUCCGAGUGUAGAGGUGAAAUUCGUAGAUAUUCGGAAGAACACCAGUGGCGAAGGCGACUCACUGGCCCGUUACUGACACUGAGAGACGAAAGCUAGGGGAGCAAAUGGGAUUAGAGACCCCUGUAGUCCCUGUCUCUUAUAC